AAUACCGGAUAAUAUAUUGAACCGCAUGGUUCAAUAGUGAAAGACGGUUUUGCUGUCACUUAUAGAUGGAUCCGCGCCGCAUUAGCUAGUUGGUAAGGUAACGGCUUACCGAGGCAACGAUGCGUAGCCGACCUGAGAGGGUGAUCGGCCACACUGGAACUGAGACACGGUCCAGACUCCUACGGGAGGCAGCAGUAGGGAAUCUUCCGCAAUGGGCGAAAGCCUGACGGAGCAACGCCGCGUGAGUGAUGAAGGUCUUCGGAUCGUAAAACUCUGUUAUUAGGGAGGAACAAAUGUGUAAGUAACUAUGCACGUCUUGACGGUACCUAAUCAGAAAGCCACGGCUAACUACGUGCCAGCAGCCGCGGUAAUACGUAGGUGGCAAGCGUUAUCCGGAAUUAUUGGGCGUAAAGCGCGCGUAGGCGGUUUUUUAAGUCUGAUGUGAAAGCCCACGGCUCAACCGUGGAGGGUCAUUGGAAACUGGAAAACUUGAGUGCAGAAGAGGAAAGUGGAAUUCCAUGUGUAGCGGUGAAAUGCGCAGAGAUAUGGAGGAACACCAGUGGCGAAGGCGACUUUCUGGUCUGUAACUGACGCUGAUGUGCGAAAGCGUGGGGAUCAAACAGGAUUAGAUACCCUGGUAGUCCACGCCGUAAACGAUGAGUGCUAAGUGUUAGGGGGUUUCCGCCCCUUAGUGCUGCAGCUAACGCAUUAAGCACUCCGCCUGGGGAGUACGACCGCAAGGUUG
rnacentral:rRNA from 1 species